rnacentral:rRNA from 1 species
ACUCAAAGGAAUUGACGGGGGCCCGCACAAGCGGUGGAUCAUGUGGUUUAAUUCGAAGCAACGCGCAGAACCUUACCUGGGCUUGACAUCCUCGGACCGUCCGAGAAAUCGGAUUUUCGGAGCAAUCCGACCGGGAGACAGGUGCUGCAUGGCUGUCGUCAGCUCGUGUGGUGACAUGUUGGGUUAAGUCCCGCAACGAGCGCAACCCCUGUCCUUAGUUGCCAGCUUUCAGUUGGGCACUCUAAGGAGACUGCCGUGGUUAACACGGAGGAAGGUGGGGAUGACGUCAAGUCCUCAUGGCCUUUAUGUCCAGGGCGACACACGUGAUACAAUGGUCGGUACAGAGGGAAGCGAAAGGGCGACCUGGAGCCAAUCUCAAAAAACCGAUCUCAGUUCGGAUUGGAGUCUGCAAUUCGACUCCAUGAAGGUGGAAUCGCUAGUAAUCGCGGAUCAGCACGCCGCGGUGAAUACGUUCCCGGGCCUUGUACACACCGCCCGU